rnacentral:rRNA from 1 species
GGGGAAUAUUGCACAAUGGGCGAAAGCCUGAUGCAGCAACGCCGCGUGAGUGAUGACGGUCUUCGGAUUGUAAAGCUCUGUCUUUUGGGACGAUAAUGACGGUACCAAAGGAGGAAGCCACGGCUAACUACGUGCCAGCAGCCGCGGUAAUACGUAGGUGGCAAGCGUUGUCCGGAUUUACUGGGCGUAAAGGGAGCGUAGGUGGAUAUUUAAGUGGGAUGUGAGAUACUCGGGCUUAACCUGGGUGCUGCAUUCCAAACUGGAUAUCUAGAGUGCAGGAGAGGAAAGCGGAAUUCCUAGUGUAGCGGUGAAAUGCGUAGAGAUUAGGAAGAACAUCAGUGGCGAAGGCGGCUUUCUGGACUGUAACUGACGCUGAGGCAUGAAAGCGUGGGGAGCAAAC